CCUACGGGAGGCAGCAGUAAGGAAUAUUGGUCAAUGGAGGCAACUCUGAACCAGCCAUGCCGCGUGCAGGAUGACGGCCCUAUGGGUUGUAAACUGCUUUUAUACAAGAGAAAACCCUGGUACGUGUACCAGGUUGAUAGUAUUGUAAGAAUAAGCAUCGGCUAACUUCGUGCCAGCAGCCGCGGUAAGACGAAGGAUGCAAGCGUUAUCCGGAUUCAUUGGGUUUAAAGGGUGCGUAGGCGGACUGAUAAGUCAGUGGUGAAAUCUCUUUGCUUAACAAAGAAACUGCCAUUGAUACUGUCGGUCUAGAGUAUAGAUGACGUUGGCGGAAUAUGACAUGUAGUGGUGAAAUACUUAGAUAUGUCAUAGAACACCGAUUGCGAAGGCAGCUAACGAAACUAUAACUGACGCUGAGGCACGAAAGUGCGGGGAUCAAACAGGAUUAGAUACCCUGGUAGUCCGCACCGUAAACGAUGAUUACUCGUUGUUGGCGAUAUGACAGUCAGCGACCAAGCGAAAGCGAUAAGUAAUCCACCUGGGGAGUACGCCGGCAACGGUUGAAACUCAAANAGAGUAGAGNGNGAGAGNGCGAGGCGACACGAGGGAGAGG
rnacentral:rRNA from 1 species